UACGUAGGUGGCAAGCGUUAUCCGGAAUUAUUGGGCGUAAAGCGCGCGCAGGCGGUUUCUUAAGUCUGAUGUGAAAGCCCACGGCUCAACCGUGGAGGGUCAUUGGAAACUGGGAGACUUGAGUGCAGAAGAGGAAAGUGGAAUUCCAUGUGUAGCGGUGAAAUGCAUAGAGAUAUGGAGGAACACCAGUGGCGAAAGCGGCUUCCUGGUCCAGCACCGACGUUCAGGCACGAAAGCGUGGGGAGCAAACAGG
rnacentral:rRNA from 1 species